rnacentral:tRNA from 1 species
ACUAAAUUAGUAUAAUAGUAUAACUGACUUCCAAUCAGUGGGUUUCGUUUCGAAAUUUAGUA